rnacentral:rRNA from 14 species
ACAUACGACCACAGCCGCCAGCCAAAUCCGGAUCCCGUCCGAUCUCCGCUAGAUAAUCUGGCGAGCGCUAGAUUAGUAGUUGAGUCGGUGACGAUCAGCGAAUACCUAGUGUUGUAUGUU